rnacentral:rRNA from 1 species
AUUGAACGCUGGCGGCAGGCCUAACACAUGCAAGUCGAGCGAGCGGCGGACGGGUGAGUAAUGUCUGGGAAACUGCCUGAUGGAGGGGGCUAACUACUGGAAACGGUAGCUAAUACCGCAUACCAUCAGAUGUGCCCAGCUGGGAUUAGCUAGUAGGGUGGGUAACGGCUCACCUAGGCGACGAGCCCUAGCUGGUCUGAGAGGAUGACCAGGCACACUGGAACUGAGACAAGGUCCAGACUCCUACGGGAGGCAGCAGUGGGGAAUAUUGCACAAUGGGCGAAAGCCUGAUGGAGCCAGGCCGCGUGUGUGAAGAAGGCCUUCGGGUUGUAAGGCACUUUAAGCGGGGAGGCGUUACCCGCAGAAGAAGCACCGGCUAACUCCGUGCCAGCCGCCGCGGUAAUAC